GAUCCGAUGGUGGAGACCGCGGCCGCCGUGUCCUCCUCCCCGCGGGCCGCCGCGGCCGCGGGGGUGGUGGCCACGUCGUCGCCGCGGGCGGGAGUGGGGAGGGGAGGGGCGCACCACUACAGGCGGUGGGGGGCGCCGGCGAGGGCGGUGCUGCUCGCGCUCUGGCUGGUCGGGUUCGCGCUCGUGUUCCUGUGGCAGAGCACCUCGGUGGGCCGCGCGCGGCUCUACACCAGCUCGCCGCUGCCGAAGCGGGCGCCGUCCGUCCAGGCGAUGGGGCAGUGGGUGGCCUCGCCGCCGGUCUACGAUCUGAGGGAGUUCGGGGGCGUCGGGGACGGGCGGACGCUCAACACUGCGGCGUUCGUGGCGGCGGUGGCGUCGAUCGCGGAGAGGGGCGGGGGGAGGCUCGUCGUGCCCGCCGGAAGGUGGCUGACCGCGCCGUUCAACCUCACCAGUAGGAUGACGCUAUUCCUCGCAGCCGGCGCUGAGAUCCUCGGGAUCCAGGAUGAAAGAUAUUGGCCGUUGAUGUCCCCAUUGCCAUCAUAUGGGUAUGGAAGAGAGCACAAGGGGCCUAGGUAUGGGAGCCUUAUACAUGGUCAAGACCUCAAGGAUGUGACUAUAACUGGACACAAUGGAACCAUAAAUGGGCAAGGUCAAAGUUGGUGGAUCAAAUUUCGGAAGAAAGUCCUCAAUCACACAAGGGGUCCUCUUGUGCAGCUCAUGCGGUCAAGUAACAUCACCAUUUCUAACAUCACUCUACGUGAUUCUCCAUUCUGGACCCUUCAUAUAUACGACUGCAAGGAUGUUACUAUAUCAGAAACCACCAUCCUGGCUCCAAUUGUUGGAGCUCCAAACACUGAUGGGAUAGAUCCAGAUUCUUGUGAGAAUGUAGUGAUUAGAAACUGCUAUAUUUCUGUUGGCGAUGAUGGGAUAGCUAUAAAGAGUGGUUGGGACCAAUAUGGAAUUGCUUAUGGGCGUCCAUCUACUAACAUCGCUAUUCACAACGUCACAAUCCGCUCCAUGGUCAGUGCUGGUGUAUCUAUAGGAAGUGAGAUGUCUGGUGGAGUUUCAAAUGUUUUGGUAGAGAAUGUUCAUAUUUGGGACUCACGGCGAGGUGUGAGGAUAAAGACUGCCCCUGGAAGAGGGGCCUAUGUUAGCAACAUCGUGUACCGAAACAUAACCCUGGAGCAUCUCCGUGUUGGCAUCGUGAUCAAGACCGACUAUAAUGAGCACCCAGACGAAGGCUUUGAUCCGAAGGCAGUUCCCAUCAUAGAGAACAUUUCGUACACUUCAAUCCAUGGACAUGGGGUGCGUGUACCAGUCAGGAUACAGGGGAGCGCAGAGAUCCCCGUCAAGAAUGUUACUUUCCAUGAUAUGUCAAUCGGUUUGGUGGACAGGAAGCACCAUGUUUUCCAGUGCUCCUUCGUCCAGGGGCAGGUCAUUGGCUAUGUUUUUCCUGUACCGUGCAAGAACCUGGACUUGUACAACGAGCGGCAGGAGCUGGUUAAACAAUCGACACUACAGAACAUCUCUGAUAUCGACUACAGUUUUUGACACGGCGGCGUUUUUUGUUCAAUUCACUGUACCAUUUGCUUAGGAGGAUUCACUGCUCAGCCGCUCUGGUUCCCCGGCAGCUCCCCGCCCCCGUGGCUGGACGGCAGCCUUCCCGGAGACUUCGGGUUCGACCCUCUCGGGCUAGGGUCGGACCCGGAGCUGCUGCGGUGGUUCGCGCAGGCGGAGCUGAUGCACAGCCGGUGGGCGAUGCUGGCGGCGGCGGGGAUCCUGAUCCCGGAGAUGCUGCAGAAGUGGGGGUUCAUGGAGGGGUACUCGUGGAUCGACGCCGGCGCGCGGGAGUACUUCGCGGACCCGUGGACGCUGUUCGUGUCGCAGAUGGCGCUGAUGGGGUGGGCGGAGGGGCGGCGGUGGGCGGACUACCUCAACCCCGGGUGCGUCGACGUCGAGCCGCGGCUGCCCAACCGCAAGAACCCCGUCCCGGACGUCGGCUACCCCGGCGGGCUGUGGUUCGACUGGGGCAACUGGGGCAGGGGGUCGCCGGAGCCCGUCAUGGUGUUGCGCACCAAGGAGAUCAAGAACGGCCGCCUCGCCAUGCUCGCCUUCGUCGGGUUCUGGUUCCAGGCCGUCUACACCGGCGAGGGGCCCAUCGACAACCUCCUGGCUCACCUCGCCGACCCCGGCCAUUGCAACAUCUUCUCGGCAUUCACGUCCCACUGAUCGAUGGAGACGUUGCAAUAGACGGAGAAUAAUAAUGAUAUCAUGAAUGAAAUGUUACAAAAAGGAAAAGCGGUUUGAGCAUUCUUUUUUAUUUUU